rnacentral:rRNA from 1 species
GACGAACGCUGGCGGCGUGCCUAAUACAUGCGAGUAGAACGCUGAAGGAGGAGCUUGCUUCUCCGGAUGAGUUGCGAACGGGUGAGUAACGCGUAGGUAACCUGCCUGGUAGCGGGGGAUAACUAUUGGAAACGAUAGCUAAUACCGCAUAAGAGUAGAUGUUGCAUGACAUUUGCUUAAAAGGUGCAAUUGCAUCACUACCAGAUGGACCUGCGUUGUAUUAGCUAGUUGGUGAGGUAACGGCUCACCAAGGCGACGAUACAUAGCCGACCUGAGAGGGUGAUCGGCCACACUGGGACUGAGACACGGCCCAGACUCCUACGGGAGGCAGCAGUAGGGAAUCUUCGGCAAUGGACGGAAGUCUGACCGAGCAACGCCGCGUGAGUGAAGAAGGUUUUCGGAUCGUAAAGCUCUGUUGUAAGAGAAGAACGAGUGUGAGAGUGGAAAGUUCACACUGUGACGGUAUCUUACCAGAAAGGGACGGCUAACUACGUG